rnacentral:rRNA from 1 species
CAGGUACAGCGGGAAGCCNCCUGGUGACAGGGAGCGGAACCCGAAAGCCUGUCUCAGUUCGGAUUGGAGUCUGCAACUCGACUCCAUGAAGCUGGAUUCGCUAGUAAUCGCGCAUCAGCCAUGGCGCGGUGAAUACGUUCCCGGGCCUUGUACACACCGCCCGUCAAGCCAUGGGAGCCGGGGGUGCCUGAAGUACGUGACCGCGAGGAGCGUCCUAGGGCAAAACUGGUGACUGGGGCUAAGUCGUAACAAGGUACC